CUCUCAAAAAAUUAAGUGUAAAUUGUUUAAUUUAAUCAAACAUUGUACCUAUUCACCUACACAUAUACUUUCUUUGGCAUACACACAGCAACACACAAUCACUGAUCCACAUACUGCAACACACAAUCACUGACCCACACACUGUUAUUCUGACACAAUCAUUGACCCACACACUGUUAUUCUCACACAAUCACUGACCCACACACUGCUAUUUUGACACAAUCGCUGACCCACACUGCAGCACACAAUCACUGACCCACACACUGUUAUUCUGACACAAUCACUAGUACACAUAUCCACAAACUCUGACCCAAACGCACACUCCAUACUCACACACAAUCUAACAUGUUAUGUACAUGCCCAUCAUUACAUUUUCACAUCAGUAGCCUAAAUACUGCAAUCUUUAACCCCUGUCUUUCCAGCAGACCCUAUUUCUCCAUACUUUUUAAUAAUCUUAAUUUUGUUUUCCCAUUGCAGUCCCCAUAUAAUCCUGUUACCAUGAUUUUCUCCCUGUGGUUGCUCCCCUACAUCUCUUCCACUAUCUGUUUAUUACAUUGUUCUCUUUCCAUAACACCUCUCUCUUUCUCUCUUCUAUUUUUGUAUUACUUUCAUUAACUUUUCUCUCCCCAUCUUACCGUUUUAAUUUCCUACCUCUUUCUGCUUCCUGUGGUCUCUCCCAGUUUUCCCCUUUUUAUUUCCUACCUCUCUCUGCUCCCUGUGCUCUCUCCCCAUCUUCCCCUUUUUAUUUCCCACCUCUCUCUGCUUCCUGUGGUCUCUCCCCAUCUUCCCCUUUUUAUUUCCUACUUCUCUCUGCUUCUUGUGGUCUCUCCCCAUUUUCCCCUUUUUAUUUCCCACCUCUCUCUGCUUCCUGUGGUCUCUCCUCAUAUUCCCCUUUUUCUUCCUACCUCUCUCUGCUCCCUGUGGUC